AAUGAACGCUGGCGGCGUGCCUAACACAUUGCAAGUCGCACGAAGAAAGCCUUUCGGGCAAGUAAAGUGGCGCACGGGUGAGUAACGCGUAGGCAACCUACCUCCCAAACAGGGAUAACAGUGCGAAAGCGCUGCUAAUACCGGAUACGACCCAGUUGCGGAAGCGAUUGGGGGAAAGUCGGCCUCUCAAAGAAGCCGGCGCUGGGAGAUGGGCCUGCGUCCUAUCAGCUAGUUGGCGGGGUAACGGCCCACCAAGGCGACGACGGGUAGCUGGUCUGAGAGGAUGAUCAGCCACAUUGGCACUGAAACACGGGCCAAACUCCUACGGGAGGCAGCAGUGAGGAAUUUUGCGCAAUGGCCGCAAGGCUGACGCAGCAACGCCGCGUGAGUGAUGAAGGCCUUCGGGUCGUAAAGCUCUGUCGGGCGGGAAGAACCUCAUGAGAGUAAAUAGCUCUUAUGACUGACGGUACCGCCAAAGGAAGCACCGGCUAACUCCGUGCCAGCAGCCGCGGUAAUACGGAGGGUGCAAGCGUUAUUCGGAAUUACUGGGCGUAAAGGG
rnacentral:rRNA from 1 species